UCAAAACAUCAAAAUAUUAACGUUUGAAUACCUCCAAUACAAGUUUACUAUAUAGAAUUAACCGGACUUUUUUUGGGCCAAGUAACUUUUUUUAUCCCAAAACAAAGUGAGGGAUUUGCAAAGUGUGAAUUGUCACACAACACCCUUACAAAAAAAUCCAGUUAUCUCAAAAAUACUUAUAACAUAACAAUACUUAUUAAAUUUGAACAAAAUUAACCACUCUGAAGGCAGAACAUGGGCACAUAGCUCGAACGACGAACCAAAGCACAACAUUAAUUUUUACUUAUUCUUCAGCGAGCAUUGCAUUCAUGUCCUGAUCAGAAAUGGAUGACAUAUCCCGAAUAUCCCUGUAAUACCGGUCAACCCACUUGCGAUACUCGGGUAUAUCCUUGGCGUAUAAUAGUUUUGAGCUUGGCGAAUCUUUGCCUGCAAUAAUAAACACAUUGACAUUUAGUUUUUUGUGUCACCAAUUGGAAUAAUUGGAUUUAUUUUAUCCUACCCAAUCGAUGAUCUGACGUUGAGCAGGAAUCCAUAAAUGUUUGAGCUACAACUGACAGACAGGAGUCCACAAUAUUCGAUUUAUGUAUAUCAAAUACAAAAUUUGGGUUCUUUAUUAAAUUCACCCAGAAACUAGAAAUUAAACGAAAAUUAAUAAA